UAAAAUUCUUUCACCGGGGAAGAUAAUGACGGUACCCGGAGAAGAAGCCCCGGCUAACUUCGUGCCAGCAGCCGCGGUAAUACGAAGGGGGCUAGCGUUGCUCGGAAUUACUGGGCGUAAAGGGCGCGUAGGCGGACAGUUUAGUCAGAGGUGAAAGCCCAGGGCUCAACCUUGGAAAUGCCUUUGAUACUGGCUGUCUUGAGUUCGGGAGAGGUGAGUGGAAUGCCGAGUGUAGAGGUGAAAUUCGUAGAUAUUCGGCGGAACACCAGUGGCGAAGGCGACUCACUGGCCCGAUACUGACGCUGAGGCGCGAAAGCGUGGGGAGCAAACAGGAUUAGAUACCCUGGUAGUCCACGCUGUAAACGAUGAGUGCUAGUUGUCGGCAUGCAUGCAUGUCGGUGACGCAGCUAACGCAUUAAGCACUCCGCCUGGGGAGUACGGUCGCAAGAUUAAAACUCAAAGGAAUUGA
rnacentral:rRNA from 1 species